UGGGGGUGGUUCCUCCGGAGCCAUUGCUAUUGGGAUCCGAUUUAGCCAUGCUAGUCGCACGAGUUCAGACUCGUGGCGAAUAGCUCAGUAACACGUGGCCAAACUACCCUUCGGAACACAAUACCCUCGGGAAACUGAGGCUAAUAGUGUAUACCACAUCACCACUGGAAUGAGUGAUGUGCCAAACGCUCCGGCGCCGAAGGAUGUGGCUGCGGCCGAUUAGGUAGACGGUGGGGUAACGGCCCACCGUGCCAAUAAUCGGCACGGGUCAUGAGAGUGAGAACCCGGAGACGGAAUCUGAGACAAGAUUCCGGGCCCUACGGGGCGCAGCAGGCGCGAAACCUUUACACUGCACGCCAGUGCGAUAAGGGGACCCCGAGUGCGAGGGCAUACUAGCCCUCGCUUUUCUGAACCGUAGGGAGGUUCAGGAACAAGAGCUGGGCAAGACCGGUGCCAGCCGCCGCGGUAAUACCGGCAGCUCGAGUGAUGACCGCUGUUAUUGGGCCUAAAGCGUCCGUAGCUGGCCGGACAAGUCCGUUGGGAAAUCCGCACGCUUAACGUGCGGGCGUCCAGCGGAAACUGUCCGGCUUGGGACCGGAAGACCCGAGGGGUACGUCCGGGGUAGGAGUGAAAUCCUGUAAUCUCGGACGGACCACCUGUGGCGAAAGCGCCUCGGGAAGACGGAUCCGACAGUGAGGGACGAAAGCCAGGGUCUCGAACCGGAUUAGAUACCCGGGUAGUCCUGGCCGUAAACGAUGUCCGCUAGGUGUGACGCAGGCUACGAGCCUGCGUUGUGCCGUAGGGAAGCCGUGAAGCGGACCGCCUGGGAAGUACGUCUGCAAGGAUGAAACUUAAAGGAAUUGGCGGGGGAGCACUACAACCGGAGGAGCCUGCGGUUAAUGCAUUA
rnacentral:rRNA from 1 species